CUGCGGGUUAGCCUAGUGGUAAUGGUGCGGUCCCAGUGCCGACCUCACGCUACUCGACCUUCUCGACCUGAAGGUCGAGUUGGGGGUCGAGUUAGUCGAGUUUCAGAACGAGUUAGGUCGAGUCAGGUCGAGUCAGAUCGAAUCAGGUCUACCAAGUUUUUGAAAAAUUUUGACAUGUCAAAAAUUUUCCCCGACUUCCUCCUCGACCUUCGGUCCGAGAUGGGGUCGAGACCAGGUCGAGAAUAGGUCGA